AUGGGCUAUAGCUGUUGUUUUCUGAAGAGGAUUCCAUCAAGAUUUUGCUGAAGGCGUUGGAUCGUUGAAUGUCUUUAUUUAGCUCAUAUUCAUCCAGCGCAUCAAACAUUUCUCGUGCUAUCUUAAUCAUGCAGGGUAAAACUUGUGCAGAUCUCUCAUUGUUCCUAUCACCAGCUGCAACACAGAUAAAUGUUCAGAGAUUCAAAGCAUGGUGUUGUGUUCUAACUUCAUUCAACAGACGAUUUUGUGCUAUGGUACCUCGUUUAUGCUCAUAGAAGCAUCAAAAGGUGGUAGGUCAAUGAUGUCUCUGAAGGUAAUGAUUUUCUUCCUAAGCUCCAUCAUCAAAAUGAAGUUGCCUGAAGAUCCACGUGAACGUGAACGUUCCAUCUUCGGUUCUUCUGAUUCCUUCUUCUUAUCCUUGACCAAGUGAGCUCUUUUCACUACCUGCAAUAGUACUCUUGUUUCUGUCAACAUUGAUAAGCCAAUGCUGUUACCAGAUGUUCCUAAUUUAUCAUACAUUAAAAUCAAGUUGACAUGAGCGAAAAACAUUAAGAAUUC